GGGCACGAACACCGGAGAGGGAGCCUGAGAAACGGCUACCACAUCCAAGGAUGGCAGCAGGCGCGCAAAUUACCCAAUCCCGACACGGGGAGGUAGUGACAAUAAAUAACAAUACGGGGUUCUUUAGGAUCUCGUAAUUGGAAUGAGUACAAUUUAAAUCUCUUAACGAGGAACAAUUGGAGGGCAAGUCUGGUGCCAGCAGCCGCGGUAAUUCCAGCUCCAAUAGCGUAUAUUAAAGUUGUUGCAGUUAAAAAGCUCGUAGUUGAAUUUCGGGGUUAGUAGGUUGGUCAUGCCUCUGGUAUGUACUGGUCUCACUGAUUCCUCCUUCCUGAUGAACCUUAAUGCCAUUAAUUUGGUGUUUUGGGGAAUUUGGACUGUUACUUUGAAAAAAUUAGAGUGUUUAAAGCAAGCUAACGCUUGAAUACAUUAGCAUGGAAUAAUGAAAUAGGACGUUCGAUCCUAUUUUGUUGGUUUCUAGGAUUGACGUAAUGAUUAAUAGGGAUAGUUGGGGGCAUUAGUAUUCAAUUGUCAGAGGUGAAAUUCUUGGAUUUAUUGAAGACUAACUACUGCGAAAGCAUUUGCCAAGGAUGUUUUCAUUAAUCAAGAACGAAAGUUAGGGGAUCGAARACGACCAGAUACCGUCGUAGUCUUAACCAUAAACUAUGCCGACUAGGGAUCGRAUGAUGUUAAUUUUUUAAUGACUC
rnacentral:rRNA from 1 species